rnacentral:rRNA from 1 species
CACGUAGGGCGCAAGCGUUGUCCGGAAUUAUUGGGCGUAAAGAGCUCGUAGGCGGUCUGUUGCGUCCGCUGUGAAAACUCGGGGCUUAACCCCGAGCCUGCAGUGGAUACGGGCAGACUAGAGGUAGGUAGGGGAGAAUGGAAUUCCCGGUGUAGCGGUGAAAUGCGCAGAUAUCGGGAGGAGCACCAAUGGCGAAGGCAGCUCGCUGGGACGGUACUGACGCUGAGGUGCGAAAGCGUGGGGAGCGAACAGG